CCUCACCUGGAUUUGGUGACUCUGGUCCUCAGCUUGGUUUCACCUGGACCUGGUGACUGUGGUCCCCACCUGGGCCUCA
rnacentral:miRNA from 1 species